AACGAACGCUGGCGGCAGGCUUAACACAUGCAAGUCGAACGCCCCGCAAGGGGAGUGGCAGACGGGUGAGUAACGCGUGGGAAUCUACCCAGUUCUACGGAAUAACCCAGGGAAACUUGGACUAAUACCGUAUACGCCCUACGGGGGAAAGAUUUAUCGGAAUUGGGUGAGCCCGCGUUGGAUUAGCUAGUUGGUGGGGUAAUGGCCUACCAAGGCGACGAUCCAUAGCUGGUCUGAGAGGAUGAUCAGCCACACUGGGACUGAGACACGGCCCAGACUCCUACGGGAGGCAGCAGUGGGGAAUAUUGGACAAUGGGCGCAAGCCUGAUCCAGCCAUGCCGCGUGAGUGAUGAAGGCCUUAGGGUUGUAAAGCUCUUUCAGUGGGGAAGAUAAUGACGGUACCCACAGAAGAAGCCCCGGCUAACUUCGUGCCAGCAGCCGCGGUAACAC
rnacentral:rRNA from 1 species